CUCAGGAUGAACGCUGGCGGCGUGCUUAACACAUGCAUGUCGAACGAAGCACCUUGAGAUCUUCGGAAGGAAAGGUGACUGAGUGGCGGACGGGUGAGUAACGCGUGGGUAACCUGCCUCAUACAGGGGGAUAACAGUUAGAAAUGACUGCUAAUACCGCAUAAGCGCACGAUACCGCAUGGUAUUGUGUGAAAAACUCCGGUGGUAUGAGAUGGACCCGCGUCUGAUUAGCUAGUUGGUGGGGUAACGGCCUACCAAGGCGACGAUCAGUAGCCGACCUGAGAGGGUGACCGGCCACAUUGGGACUGAGACACGGCCCAAACUCCUACGGGAGGCAGCAGUGGGGAAUAUUGCACAAUGGGCGAAAGCCUGAUGCAGCGACGCCGCGUGAGCGAAGAAGUAUUUCGGUAUGUAAAGCUCUAUCAGCAGGGAAGAAAAUGACGGUACCUGACUAAGAAGCACCGGCUAAAUACGUGCCAGCAGCCGCGGUAAUACGUAUGGUGCAAGCGUUAUCCGGAUUUACUGGGUGUUAAGGGAGCGUAGACGGCUGUGCAAGUCUGAUGUGAAAACCCGGGGCUCAACCCCGGGACUGCAUUGGAAACUGUGCAGCUAGAGUGCCGGAGAGGUAAGCGGAAUUCCUAGUGUAGCGGUGAAAUGCGUAGAUAUUAGGAGGAACACCAGUGGCGAAGGCGGCUUACUGGACGGUAACUGACGUUGAGGCUCGAAAGCGUGGGGAGCAAACAGGAUUAGAUACCCUGGUAGUCCACGCCGUAAACGAUGACUACUAGGUGUCGGGCAGCAAAGCUGUUCGGUGCCGCAGCAAACGCAAUAAGUAUUCCACCUGGGGAGUACGACCGCAAGGUUGAAACUCAAAGGAAUUGACGGGGGCCCGCACAAGCAGUGGAUUAUGUGGUUUAAUUCGACGCAACGCGAAGAACCUUACCAGGGUUUGACAUCCAACUAACGAAGUAGAGAUACAUUAGGUGCCCUUCGGGGAAAGUUGAGACAGGUGGUGCAUGGUUGUCGUCAGCUCGUGUCGUGAGAUGUUGGGUUAAGUCCCGCAACGAGCGCAACCCCUAUUGUUAGUUGCUACGCAAGAGCACUCUAGCGAGACUGCCGUUGACAAAACGGAGGAAGGCGGGGACGACGUCAAAUCAUCAUGCCCCUUAUAUCCUGGGCUACACACGUAAUACAAUGGUGGUUAACAGAGGGAAGCAAUAGAGCGAUCUGGAGCAAAUCCCUAAAAGCCAUCUCAGUUCGGAUUGCAGGCUGCAACUCGCCUGCAUGAAGCUGGAAUUGCUAGUAAUCGCGGAUCAGCAUGCCGCGGUGAAUA
rnacentral:rRNA from 1 species